CCGGAUGCCGGUGCCAUCUUGUAAUGGAGUUUGUGAGGACAGCUCCUCACAUAUGUGAGGACAGCUCCUCGGACAGCUCCUCACAUCUCUGUGAGGACAGCUCCUCGGACAGCUCCUCACAUGCAUGUGCUUAUUUCUGUGUGUGUACAUAUACAUAUACAUAUAUAUGUAUAUGUGUGUGUUUUAUGUAUUGUGCAUUUGUAAAUGUGUGUAUGAGCAUUUUUUGUGCAUGUGUGUCAAUGUGUGUUUGUAUCUGUGAAUGGUGUAUUAAGGAAAAGGACAGGCUAAUGCCAGAAUUCUGCAUUGAAGACUGAGGAAGACAUGACAAUUCUUUGUCAUCUAAGAGAUGUGUUCUAUUUUUAUUUAGUUGUAUUUAUCUUUUAAAUACAUGAUAGAUUCUGAAAAUCAAAAGUGACUUGAAAGACUUGCCAACUGUCUCACGUAUUUUACCCAAAGGAGACAGAGCAGAAUGCCUCCACAGGCAAAAUCACACAACAUAAAUCUUUGAUGUUAUAGUCCCCUUGUGAUCAACCAACUUAAAAAGCCACAUCUACGUUCAGGAGUCAUUAACUGAGUUCACAGUGACUUUAUUCCCUUUUCUCUGCCUUACGCACAUUCCCCUGGCCUUCUGUUUAUUUAAUGAAUUCCAUAAAGUUUUACAAGAAAUUUGCAUCAUUCAUGACUUUCCAAAGUUGGCGUUAUCUCAUUUUCUGCAAUCACCAUUAUGGGUUCAGACAUAAACUGAGGCUAAAAGAUAUGAAGGGAGUGUAAUUAGCAGUUUGAAGGAAAACGUUUUCUCAGCCUUUGAGGGGAUUCCCAGUUGUAUACAACUUUAAGAAUUAUUGACUACCAUCUUCCAAAAAAAAUUGAGGGUGACAUGUUUGGACAGAAAGAAAGCUAGAAAAUUGGUAUAUUAAAUAAAUCCUUCGGGAAAUUUUUGUGCCAGGAAACCUGUUCCAAAUACCAUUCUUGAAUCAUGACUUCUCAGUGUUGUGACUUAAUGAAUCUUCUGGCUGAGCAGUAAAUCACUUGGGUUGGAAUUUUUCACUAUCUCACUAGUUAUAAUACACCAAAUAUUUUACAUGGUAUAUAGAAUCAAGAUCUUUGGCAUUUUUAUAUGUUUAAGUAGGGAAAUUAUUUGAUUCAGAAGUAUUAUCAAGGUAUUAAAGUUUUCUUUCAUUAUUAUUAAACGUAUUAGAUAUAGGUUAGCCAGAAUUUACUACCAGUGAAUUGGAAAUUGAGUUUGGAAGAAAUAUAAAAUAUAUGAAAUGUUUUAUUUUCUUGUUUGCUUGGGUGUAUACUGAAUGAGUGGUUCUCUCUGGAGUCUUCCCUAUUUUAUUUAUUGAUGCAGAGUCUCUUGCGGAACCUGAAGCUAGCUUGUUUUGCUAGUAUAUCUGGCCAGCUGCUAAGGCAUGCUCUCUGUUUUCCAAGUGUUGAAAUGAAGAGAGGCUGCUGCCUUCUUCAGUGUGCAUUCUGGCAUGCAUCUCUGGGAUCCUUGUUGAGCAUGAGAAAAUAUUUUAAACUUUGCUGGCAACCUUUAGAGAAAAGCAGACUACAUACAAAUAAUCGUAAGAGCACUUCAGGUACAUAAAAGUGUUGCAACUGUUGGAGACUUUAUGAAAAAUACUAGCAUCAGGUAUGAGAAGUCGAGGUUGAAGCUUGUCAAUGUAAUCCAAGUGACUCUCAAACAACACAGGCCCUUGCUGACGUCUUACAGAUAAGAGGUCUGAAAGAUGAUCCUGGGCCAAAUUGUUGAAGACUGAUGCUCUUAUAUGUUGUUAACAGGGGAUUGUACAGGUGAAUAUGUGAGCAGUUUUGGACAAAGUUCCAUGAAGUGCUGAGAAGACAAACUACUCUAAAAAUGUAAAUAGAAAGUAACCACAGAUAAGUUGACUCAGUUUUACUCAGCUAUUAAGAACGAGGAAAUCCUGACUUUGCCGGCAAAUGGAUGGAACUAGAAAAUAUCCUCAGUGAGUGGAUUCUGCCUGUUUCAAACAGUUUACUUGAGGAGUAAUGAAGACUACCAUUAACUAUUGUGAAAAGUUACACUCAUGAAUGUCGUGCUGAAGAUGGUGUACUUCAAACAUCUCCAUUCCUUGGCAUCGCCACAGCGAGAUCAAUUUCAAUGACUUUUCUGUGUUGUGGACACUGGAGUUCAUCCAAGGCUUGUGUAGAUUCCCCCUUCACUGUUGAGGGAUCAAGGAUGUCAGAUGUGCAGCCAACUCGAAUUUCUGCAGUGAGUUUUAUUAAGCUUACUUAUUUCUAGGCCCUUUGAAUUCCAUUUUUCUGGGAAUAUAAUUUAUGAAGCAAAUAAGAAUAUCUCUCUAAUGUGGAAAAGCUCUCAGAGGACCAAAAUGAGUCUAUUUGCUCACAUAGAAGUAAGAGAAAGGAUUGUUACAAAAAGUACCCAAAUUAAAUGAAAGCUUUUGUGAAUCAUACAGGCUAUGAACUUCUGGUGCAAAAUGUCUUUGUUUUAAGCACAAGCUUUUUUUAAGCCCUCAUGGAAUUUUCUUUAAAAAGAUAUGGCAGUUAUUUCUAGAACCUCAGAUAAUGUAUUAAUUAUUUUAUAGUUUUUAUUUUCCCUAAUCUAAAUAUAGAAACACAUAGACCAGAAAGUUGGUAUACUUGUUGUAACAAAUCAUUCAAUUGUCAAUAUAGGUGAAAUUUUGAUAAUUGCUUUUGUACGGACUUUCCUGUAGAGGAACCUAGAGGAACCUAGUAUUUCACUAGGUGUCAUGAACAAGGGGUGAAAUUUUUAGGGAAAUGGGUGCAUGAGAAUGUUAGACUAAGAAUAAUACUACCAAAAAUAGAUAUGCGCAGAAAUAAAUGAUUCAUAAACUCAAAGCCAAACAUGGUAUGAGACAAAUUCUGAAACUUUCAAGGAUUUUCAGUGACCAACAAGAUGCCUGUGUCUGUGGCAUGUGUAGGUUAUCUGUGGUGGACUCAACUCUGUGUGAUAUUCAAAGACUUAGAUUGAACCCCUAUUUUGUUCUUUAUAAAUUAUAUAUUCUUUGUAUAUUUCAGAUGUUCUCUGACUAUUUAUGAGAGAUAGUGAGAACUUUAUUUUUAAAAUGUGACCAAUGAAUAUGUGAAGUACCAUAAAAUAGAACCUAUAAAAUUACACAUUGUCUCUCUUUGUGGGACAGAAACUAACAAGAGUCAUCGUUAAGGUGCAGCAUAUAGAAUAUGUAUUUGAUCUUCAUGCAGGAGGUGCAGAUUAUAAAUACCCAAGAGUUGAAACACUUAACAAUGUUUAUAUUAUAUUUUUCUAUACAUUAUAUUCUGUUUUUAUUAUGUAUGCUGGGGUAUGACAGAAAUCACAGUGGCGCAAUGCACUAUGGACUACAUUAGCUAAUUGUUUUUCAAGGAAUGAACUGAUAAGGUGAUGUGUUGUUUCUCCUGUGUGCAAAAGAAUCACUCAGAAAUUCAGCAGUAGGAGAUGCUUUACUUGCCAAAGCCCAAGACCCACUUGCAAAGCUCAGUACUUGUAAGGUGAUAUUUCAUUCAGUAGAUUAAUCUCUCAGAUGUUCAAGUCAGUGUUAGACAUUAUGACGUACACUGGAGCUGCAAAUAUAAAAAACACAAGGACAUCCUUCUCUAAGGUAAUAUUUCAGAAGCAAUAGCAUCUGCCCAUAAUAACCAUGAAGUGCAACAAACGCAAUGUGAGGUUUUUAGUGGGUGUCACAGUAGUGCAAAAUAGAUAAACAGUUAAAAAAUAAUGAUCUCUACCUGAAAUGCAGCUUAAUGUGUGAGUGGAAAUUAGCCAAGCUGAAAGUAAUGCUAUUGGCAGAAUUCCAGGUAUAAUUAAAGAUGAAGUGAUAGAGACUGGAAUUAGUAUGUUGUGUUGCAAACGCAACAGAUAGAUGUUGCAUCGCUUCAUAAAACUUUAUAAACACUCUUCAUAUCACCACACAAUUUACAUAGUCAGAGUUAGGUAAUCUACCAAAUUAUUAUUUGUAACAUUUAGAGUGCAUUGUAAUUUGCUUCUUUCAAAAGACAUUUUCAUUUUAAAUAUAAACAGUUAUUGAGUGGUAGAGAAACACCAUCUGGGAGUAGAGAGCUUUCUGUGACAAGGGUGAAGACCAGAGUACCAAUGUAGCCUCGUGAAUGCAGUGUGAGCAUGUUAGUGCACCUGUAAUUCCAAUAUUCAGGAGGUAGAGAUGGGGUAUCCAUUGCUCAAUAUGGCUAACAAGACAUUAACUUCAACCAUCCAUAGGUAUGUUCACACACAGGCACAUGCAUCCAUGCACAGGCAAGAGCUAUACACAUGUGAGCAGACAUACACAAAUGCAUGUACAUACCACACAUAUGACAUAGGUUAAAGGUGAAAAGUAAAACCCUAUUCCACAAGUGUUAUAACAGAUUGAUGAACUUCUGUCUGUACUUGCAUUUUAUUUUCUAUAUAUAAAGCUAGCAGCAUGAAUUCUUUGUAUAUAAGCCAUAGUUGAUAUAUCCUUCAUAGUACUGAAAAUUAAAACUAAGUGUUGAUGAAAUAUAUUACGUUUAAGUGCACACAUUUCUUAAAACCGACUCAUUUUUAAAAAGAGAACAAACUUAAGGUAAAAUUGUUUUCUACAAACUUUAGCCUGAACCGUAAAUUCUAUAUGUAAAAAAUGAUGUAUCAGCUUGUGAACAUAAUUUUUGUUAAUGUUUAUUUUGGUGGAUUAAGCAUUUCCAAGUGAAUCCAUGAGACACUUCUCUAUCCUAUUAUUAUUUGUAAACCAUUCAUCACUAACCUAUGGCUACAUAUGCAUACUUAAACCAAGGUGACUGAUUUACCUGAUUCUCCGUUGAAGUUGAAACAAUGUAUAUGUACUUUCUAUGUUGAGAAAAUAAAAGUAAAUUACUAGUUCCUAACUAUAUAUCACAAUUAGAGGCGAGACUUAAAAAAUGUAAAGGAAUGGUUAUCUAUUCCAGCGUGUGCAUGACUUUUGUACUAAUUGAUCAAAUAAAUUGGCAAAAUGUUAAUUUAAACUGAAUGUCAUUUAUAUACUCUGGAUUAGUUCUCAGUAAAGCUAGGAACUAUGUUUCACUUGGCUUACAUUUAAUUGAUGUACUGAAGAAGAGACCAUUUUUAGACACCUACUCUGUCAGUUGAGGGCCAUUUAUUUGUUAAGUAAUUACACUUCUCACUGUGAUGUAAUUUGUUUUCUCUAGGCUCUAUGACACCUACACUAAAUUAGAUUGUGUGUUCUCAUUUUAAAGGAGAUAGUUGAAUAGUUGAGAUUACCUUUCCAUGUCAUUAUAAGUAAAUUGCACAAAUUAAUGAUCAAAAUUUGUUUAGGGUACACAACAAAAUGAACACAGGACUCAAGAUGCUGGUAAGCACACUUAAUAGGAAACAACAAAAAGUUAUUAUGUUAGCUCUUCAUGUUACAUAGAAUAAAAUUUAGGCAAGGAGUAGGAUUCAUAUGCUACUUAUUUUGAAUUGUGAUGUAAACAAAUAUUUCUUGUUUUUUAAUGAUUCUUGUAGAGAAUCCAAUGCUGUGAAGAUAAUACUUGCUUGGCUUUAUGUAUCAAACUUAAUUAUUUGGAUUCUGCGCGUGCCUCUCAUUUUAGUGCAAUGACUUUAAAAUUGAUCGUUAUUUUUAAAUAUUGAAGAAGUGCUAGGAUCCUGUAUGCCUACCCAGGAAAUUUGCAAACAUCAGCAUUCUUGUGCCCUAUUAUUCUGAAGUCCUAAAGAAAUCCUGACUUACUGUUUCUUUAAUGCUGUUCAAUAAAGACGGAACACUGUCACCAUAGAGACUGAUGAGGACAGAGUAACAGCCAAAACAAACAUGAUCGGAUAUAUCCCUCCUGGUAUAUUUGGUCAUUCACCCACCUUGUGUUGAGGAGCUUAAUAAGCCACCUUUGGUUUUAAAGAAUUACAUGGGCGAGUUCUUGACAGAAAGUACUAGAAACAUUUAUGUAAAGGCAGAUCUCUAAUUAAUUGGAAUAGAAAGAGUGUCUAUGUUUACUUUAGGUUUUGUUGUCAUGGUAUAUACCUUGUACUGAUUUGUAAGUAGUGCACAAUUGAUAGAAAUAUCAACCUAUUAUUCCUUUACAUGUUCUCAGCUCUCCUUAAAGUUUCCUUUGAAAUGGAAUUGAAUUGGCACAGUAGGUGUGGCCUUAGUUCUAAUUAAGCAAAGACAGGAGAGGCUUAAGGCUAGAAGAAAUAAGGAAGCUUUAAAUAGUUAAACGAUCAUUUCACAAAAGUGUUAUUGCAAUUAUAAUACAAUUUAAGGUUAUAUGUCUUUGAACUUGAUUGGUCAUAUUUUGUCAGCAACUUACAGUAAGAAAAAAUAAGUCAUUUCCAUAAAUCAAGAUUUUCUGGUAAAAAUCAUCUUGGUCAAAUUCUUUUAUCUCCAAAUUAAAGAAUAGACAUAAAGCACUUCCUUAGUAGAGUAAAACAUUAUUGCCUCCAGGUAGACUAAAACAUUGGAUGCAAUAAUAAAAUUCAAAAUGGUACCGUAAA